UACGUAGGUGGCAAGCGUUGUCCGGAUUUAUUGGGUUUAAAGGGUGCGUAGGCGGCCUUAUAAGUCAGUGCUGAAAUAUCCCGGCUUAACCGGGAGGGUGGCAUUGAUACUGUAGGGCUUGAGUGUAGUCGAGGUAGGCGGAAUUGACGGUGUAGCGGUGAAAUGCUUAGAUAUCGUCAAGAACACCUAUUGCGAAGGCAGCUCGCUGGGACGUUACUGACGCUGAGACGCGAAAGCGUGGGGAGCAAACAGG
rnacentral:rRNA from 1 species